AUACGGAGGAUCCGAGCGUUAUCCGGAUUUAUUGGGUUUAAAGGGAGCGUAGGCGGACGCUUAAGUCAGUUGUGAAAGUUUGCGGCUCAACCGUAAAAUUGCAGUUGAUACUGGGUGUCUUGAGUACAGUAGAGGCAGGCGGAAUUCGUGGUGUAGCGGUGAAAUGCUUAGAUAUCACGAAGAACUCCGAUUGCGAAGGCAGCCUGCUUGACUGUAACUGACGCUGAUGCUCGAAAGUGUGGGUAUCAAACAGGAUUAGAUACCCUGGUAGUCCACACAGUAAACGAUGAAUACUCGCUGUUUGCGAUAUACAGUAAGCGGCCAAGCGAAAGCGUUAAGUAUUCCACCUGGGGAGUACGCCGGCAACGGUGAAACUCAAAUGAAUUGACGGGG
rnacentral:rRNA from 1 species